rnacentral:misc_RNA from 1 species
GAGGCAACGCCUUAUAGAAGGUAGUGGUAACUUUCUUUUUCCCUUUUUAAUUGUUUUUUACACACAACUAAGACUAAAAGGAAAAACCCUAAGAGACAGACCCAUUUUGUCAUGCUACCAAAAACCGAAGAUCUCUCACUCACAACAGCCGGCUCUUUCAAAUCAUAACAGAUAUGUCUCUCAUCUUCCUCUCUCUCUCUCUCUCU